rfam:Candidatus Accumulibacter sp. BA-91 contig000206, whole genome shotgun sequence.
UAUAAUUGACCCCGUUUUGGGUACCUUGCCCCACGCUCGUGGGGCGGGUGAAACGGGAAGCCGGUGAAUCUGAAUCUUCAGACAUUCCGGCGCAGCCCCCGCUGCUGUAAGCCUGACGACUCCGCAAUACGCCACUGUGC